rnacentral:rRNA from 1 species
CGGAUUGUAGUCUGCAACCCGACUACAUGAAGCUGGAAUCGCUAGUAAUCGCGGAUCAGAAUGCCGCGGUGAAUACGUUCCCGGGUCUUGUACACACCGCCCGUCACACCAUGGGAGUCGGAAAUGCCCGAAGUCUGUGACCCAACCGAAAGGAGGGGGCAGCCGAAGGCAGGUCGGAUGACUGGGGUGAAGUCGUAACAAGGUAAC